ACUGUGUCAGUCCUCUUCCUCUGUAAUUUAUAUCCACAGUGCUAAAGUGUCAGUAAUGCAGUACAGUUGAAGCUUCUGCAGAAUUCAUGCUAUAAAGAUGAUAAGAGCCCCCAAAGGUAUAUUUUCUUCUGUACAGGGAACACAAAUUGCUUGGCAUCUGGUCUUCAUGUUGUCUUCUCCUUUCUUCAGACUGAUUGACGUAGAUACAUAUUAACAGUAGAACCGAUCAGCUGAUGAGUCAACAGUUUCAUGCUCAUUCAUUUUCUUCCUAAGGCUAUUGAUAGAAAAAAAUCACUGAAUAAUGGAAUACUGAGAUACUGCAUUUAACUACUCAGAAGAUGUCUUCAGAAGACAUUUUGCCAGUGCCAAUGUUGGUCGUGCCUUUGUAAAAGCAUAAGGAGAAGAGAGGAGUGGGGAAAACGUAGAGAGAACCAUCCCUGCAGACCCCAAGAUCUCCUGAGAACAAGCUUAAGAAUAUAAUGCCUGGGAACACUCUGAGAAACCUGCUUCUUCCAGAAAUGGCACAAACUUAUCUAACAUUCUCCAGGCCUCCUAAGUUCCAACUGAUUGCUUUUAAUAAUAUUUAUUCAUCCAAAAAUAUGCCUAUAUGCUGUUUUACUACAACAGACUCCUGUUGUCAGCCUUCAGAGAAUUAUUUUUUUAAGAAGGUUCAUGCAUAAGACAUAAUUUUACUUCUAUAUAAAUGUUUGUACUUACAUGUACGCAUUUCCAUAAAUACAAAUAUAAUUUAAAAUAUUGGGUUUUGAUUAGCCUAAUGGCUGCCGAAAUAAUAAUCAUGUAAUAAAAUUUUUACCUUGGUAUUUGACUUUUCA
rnacentral:lncRNA from 1 species